CUGACAGUUUGGCUUCCCUGUUCCAGGUGGCAAAGCCUGUGGGGUAUUCACCUACCUGCUGCAUGAAGGCAGCAUGGAGGGACUGUGGUGGAUUAUCUGCAAAGAUGGCCCAAAUUCUCUCAUCCCUGCAGGUACAUACAAGAGGAGAACUGAAGCUCAGCUAUUCACCCUACAGAAAGCCUGAAUUUUGUAAAUGUUCUGCUUAGAAUGAGGAAGAAAGAUGAAGAAUGAGGAGGAAGAAGGGAGGAACAAGAGAGAGAGGUUGUUGCAUGGCAUAAGUAAAAUGACAGCUAUAGAAUAUGUGCAACUUUUCAGUGACAAAGACCUGUGAAGCAUUGACAGUACCACCUAAUGAGGUUUCACGAUAACUAAGUAUCACAACCAGUUUACAGACCAGAAAACUGAGACACAGGAAGGGUUGGUGACUUGAGCAAGGUGCAUCAGCUGCCAGGUUUCCAGAAGUUCCCUAGUCAUUGGGCAUUUCUGAGACUCUUGAUGCAUAUGCCAAGUAGUUAUGGAGAAAGACAUAGCCGCUUACCUCUGCAGGCAUCAUUGUGUGAAAGGAAGACCGAGGCUGUCUCACCACCCUUGAAGAGAAGCCUUUUGCUAAGGUGAUAGCUGCAUGUCCAAGCCUAUUGCGUGGCAUGGAUUUUGCCUUCUACAGCCCACUAAAGGUGAGCAGUAAAUGUGUUUGCUAUUUCCCCAAAAGGAAAUUGAGGUGUACGGAAUGCUUAUUUGGUUGACUCAGUAUCAUCCUAAAUGUAUGAACUAAUGUUUAGGAGUUUGCAGUUCACCCGCAAACCUCAGCGAUCCAAGCUCCCCUGGAUGACCAUCACUCACCUAGAAAAGAACAAUAACAGGACCUGUUUUGCUAAUCCAGGACUGUUCUCCAGCACUAACUCUAAAUAAUCCCUUCU
rnacentral:lncRNA from 1 species